UUUAUACUAAGUGACCCAUAGGUUUAGGAGGCAGUGACCAUGGCGGUGGAGGAGGAGGAGGUAGCCAACACUGUUUAUGUAUAUAUAUAUUUUUUAAUUGGGGUAGCCCCCAAAAUAUUGGGACAUAUAAAAAAAGACAACUCUGUUCUGAAGAGUAGCUGUUGACAUUAUAGUUGCGCAGGAACUUUGUUGACUCUAGAGAACCUCGGGCAAAUCGCACAUCCCUGUGGCGACGACUUUGCAUGCGCAUGUCAUCCAUAUCAACUUUUGAUGCCAGUUUCUGCACCUACCAUGGUGACCACGGGUAACAGGGAAUCCGGGUUCCAUUCUGCACAGGGACCCUGAGAAACAGCUACCACAUGCAAGGAAGGCAGCAGGCGCGCAAAUGACCCACUCCCUACGCGGGAAGGUAGUGACGAAAAAUAACAAUACAGGACUCUUUCGAGGCCCUGAAAUUGUAAUGAGUCCACUUGAAAUCCUUUAACUCUGUUCAAUUGGAGGGAAGUCUGGUGCAGAGCCACUGACUCGUGCGUGCUGCAGCUGAAACUCCACUA
rnacentral:rRNA from 1 species